ACUCCUACGGGGGCAGGCAGUGAGGAAUAUUGGUCAAUGGAGGGCAACUCUGAACCCAGCCAUCCCGCGUGUAGGAAGACGGCCUUAUGGGUUGUAAACUACUUUUAUACAGGAAGAAACGUACCCUCGUGAGGGUGCCUGACGGUACUGUAGGAAUAAGCACCGGCUAACUCCGUGCCAGCAGCCGCGGUAAUACGGAGGGUGCGAGCGUUAUCCGGAUUUAUUGGGUUUAAAGGGUCCGUAGGGCGGAUUAAAUAAGUCAGUGGUGAAAUCCCAUCGCUUAACGAUGGAACUGCCAUUGAUACUGUUAGUCUUGAAUGAGGGUGCAGUGGUUGGAAUGUGUAGUGUAGCGGGUGAAAUGCAUAGAUAUUACACAGAACACCGAUUGCGAAGGCAGAUCACUAACCCUAAAUUGACGCUGAGGGACGAAAGCGUGGGGGAGCGAACAGGAUUAGAUACCCU
rnacentral:rRNA from 1 species